rnacentral:lncRNA from 1 species
GGCCAGGGUGUUGCCCUUAGGAGCAGACAGGAGAGACGCUCUAGUUUUCUUUUUAGCAUAUGUUUGUCUCCCUCAGAGUAGAAAAAGUUUCCCUCUUUUCUUAGGCUCACGUGGACUCUGGCGGAAGAAUUUAGUGACGUCCAAUUUCGAGUAACCGAACUUGUCUGGGAAACAAUUUGGGGUAGAAUUAUUGCAAGAUGCCUGAGGCUACUCUUGCCCUGCUAAGGCGAGGGGAAAGACGGAAGCAUGAAUUGACUAAGAUAGUAGUAAAAGACCAGCUGGGAGCUACUGGCCAUCAUCUCUGUCACCAAGGGAGAAAGCCAACAGAGAGAGGAAGAGCUGUGAAAGGGAAAGAGACAGCGAGUCUGGACCCUGGACUGUUCAGUAUACACACCUUGGAGAUGUUGCAAGUUCGGUUCUAGACCACCACAAUAAAGCAAAUAGCACAAUAAGGACAUAAUGCAAAAGAAGUUAAAAACUGUAUGUGAAGAUGUCAAGGACUUCCAGUGCUGGUAAAUAUUACAGACUUGGUUACCUGAACACCAUCCCACGACAAACAUCUUGAAAUGAUGGG